rnacentral:rRNA from 1 species
GCAUGCAUGGGCGCAGCCUGAUGCAGCGACGCCGCGUGAGGGAUGAAGGCCUUCGGGUUGUAAACCUCUUUCAGUAGGGAAGAAGCGAAAGUGACGGUACCUGCAGAAGAAGCGCCGGCUAACUACGUGCCAGCAGCCGCGGUAAUACGUAGGGCGCAAGCGUUAUCCGGAAUUAUUGGGCGUAAAGAGCUCGUAGGCGGUUUGUCGCGUCUGCCGUGAAAGUCCGGGGCUUAACUCCGGAUCUGCGGUGGGUACGGGCAGACUUGAGUGAUGUAGGGGAGACUGGAAUUCCUGGUGUAGCGGUGAAAUGCGCAAAUAUCAGGAGGAACACCGAUGGCGAAGGCAGGUCUCUGGGCAUUAACUGACGCUGAGGAGCGAAAGCAUGGGGAGCGAACAGGAUUAGAUACCCUGGUAGUCCAUGCCGUAAACGUUGGGCACUAGGUGUGGGGGACAUUCCACGUUUUCCGCGCCGUAGCUAACGCAUUAAGUGCCCCGCCUGGGGAGUACGGCCGCAAGGCUAAAACUCAAUGAAAUUUGACGGA